CCUACGGGAGGCAGCAGUGGGGAAUUUUGGACAAUGGACGCAAGUCUGAUCCAGCCAUGCCGCGUGUGGGAAGAAGGCCUUCGGGUUGUAAACCACUUUUGUCAGGGAAGAAACGGUCUAGGUUAAUACCUUGGGCUAAUGACGGUACCUGAAGAAUAAGCACCGGCUAACUACGUGCCAGCAGCCGCGGUAAUACGUAGGGUGCAAGCGUUAAUCGGAAUUACUGGGCGUAAAGCGUGCGCAGGCGGUUAUGCAAGACAGAUGUGAAAUCCCCGGGCUCAACCUGGGAACUGCAUUUGUGACUGCAUGGCUAGAGUACGGUAGAGGGGGAUGGAAUUCCGCGUGUAGCAGUGAAAUGCGUAGAUAUGCGGAGGAACACCGAUGGCGAAGGCAAUCCCCUGGACCUGUACUGACGCUCAUGCACGAAAGCGUGGGGAGCAAACAGGAUUAGAUACCCUGGUAGUCCACGCCCUAAACGAUGUCAACUGGUUGUUGGGAGGGUUUCUUCUCAGUAACGUAGCUAACGCGUGAAGUUGACCGCCUGGGGAGUACGGCCGCAAGGUUGAAACGUCAAAGGAAUUGACGG
rnacentral:rRNA from 1 species